AAAAGGAACAUUUUGCAUUUUUCCUGUCAAAUAAAAGUCUUCUUCUCCCAAACAGAGAGGGUUUAUUUCUGGAGGAUCAGGCUAAUCGUUGGGAUCAGGUGCAUCCGCUCACUGCCAGCAGCCAGCCUCGUUUAUUGGCCUCCUCCGUGUCCUGUGGAGACGUGAGGCCGCGGGCCUGCAGCUCCACACAGCCUGGCAACAUCUCACCCCCCCUUCCUCCAUCAACAUCUUCCAGUUUCUUCCAUCCCGCCGGCCGCUCUCCCCGCAUCCCGUCCGCGCGGGGAGCCGGCCGUCCAGCCGGAAGCUCUCCUCCUCACCUUCUUUUAUCCCUCUCUUUCAGGCUCAUUUCUGUCUUAAUUAAUCAGUGACUCGUCUCUCACUCUUAUGUAACUCUCCACCCCCACCGUGCCUCCUGUAACUGCUGAUUACAUUGAAGGUUCCCGUGACCGGCGGCGGCGGAAGCGGCGGCGCGUCUUACCUGGUGCGGCAGCAGAUCGGCGGUCAUUCUAAGCCCCAUGAACGGUCCCCGCAGCUCCCCGCAACCACAACGCUGCGCGCGAGCCGACUGGAGAGGACAGCCGCUGAAUCCCCCUUUCCUCCAUCCAUCCACGGAAAAGACGGCCGCCCGCCUCCACCCCUCCGCUGGUAGAGAGACAUAGUCACCGUACCUGGACUUAACCAUGUUAACUAACUGGGUUAAGGAGCAACACCGUGAGGAGCCCGACCCUGUUCCACUGCAGAGGUUUCUAGCGGUCUGAUUUGAAUCAAAAUUUAAAUGAAAUAACAUAUUCUAUCAAAAAUAAUCUCAGUUUAUACAGUCCUGCACUUUUGAGUAGAAGCAAAAGAGUUAUAACCAAAACCAUAAGAGCUAAUAAAGAGAUUAAUAAGUGAGAUUUAAAGCUACGGCAUGGUGUUCACACUGGACUAAUAGGGAGGGGCUUCUUCUUUAUUUUUCCUCUAUUGUUUACUAGCGCGUGUCUGCUCCCUACAGUUGGAAGAGAUUUGGUGCAAAACAUCAAAGUGGUGCAAAUGUCAUAACAUUUAAUCCAGUAGUUUCUUUCACAGUUCUAGUCUGAUUUAUAAAAGUUUGUAUAUUUCCGACCGUGUACAAUUAUUAAUUUCUCCUUCAUGAUCAAACAUCAAAUGGUACUUCCAUUGAUAAAUCUAUACGCUACUACCAAAUCAGAGUUCCUGAUUAGUCAAAGUUUGACCUGGCUUACCUUGUAAUGUGAGUUUGGAGUCUCAAAAUGAUCAUAGAAACUUUCACAGACUCAGCAGAAAGUUGCAGACAUAAUUAAAUUCUUCCUAAAGGUCAGGACUCAAAUGGAGACAUUUUUCAUACAAUGAUGUGAAGCAGAUUUUUUUAACUGUACGUAAAAGUAAAAAAAAGUUUAACUUCUUCCAUGAAAAACUAUGUCUUCCAUUGCAAUACUAUUUGUGAGCUCAGGUGAUAUCCAAUGUCAGGCCUCAAGAGUCAUCUUCCUGCUAGUUUUCCAGAAACUGUGUCUUAUCCAAUGCUAAUUACCUGGAUCAGGUGUGAUUAGCCAAUAAGGAGCUUGAAUGGCAAAUUAGUGGGAAAACAUGCAGGACACCGGCCUUCGAAGUCUGGAAUUUUUACACUCCUGGCUUAAGAUGUAUUUCAGAUCUGGGUUUUUAUCUGGCCAAAUGUGUUUCAUCCUUUAAGUGAGUUAAAAAAAUCCUUAAAAAGUACAAUUAAAAUAAUCUGUUUUAUUA